CUAUGUACCUUCCAGGAAACUUCAUCACCAUGCCUAUACAAAGGGUUUCUGUGUGAACUCCCUAAAUGUGGGAAUCUCGACUGAAUAAUUUGUGGUAGUGGGGGACUGCGGUCGCACUCUCUCU
rnacentral:snRNA from 1 species